rnacentral:rRNA from 1 species
UACGUAGGGUGCAAGCGUUGUCCGGAAUUAUUGGGCGUAAAGAGCUCGUAGGCGGUUUGUUGCGUCGGCUGUGAAAACCUGAGGCUCAACCUCAGGCCUGCAGUCGAUACGAGCAGACUAGAGUGUUGCAGGGGAGACUGGAAUUCCUGGUGUAGCGGUGAAAUGCGUAGAUAUCAGGAGGAACACCGGUGGCGAAGGCGGGUCUCUGGGCAACAACUGACGCUGAGGAGCGAAAGCGUGGGGAGCGAACAGG